ensembl:lncRNA
GUGCAGACCUUCCUAUCAUCUUCUGAUGCUCAUUGCAGCUUAUUGAGCUGUACAGAUCACACAGCGGAACACAAAGUCUACAGUCUACGAGGUGUACACUUCUUUGUGAGGAGCCUGAAGAACUGUCUGAAUUCAGACCCGGAGGAGACUUGUGUCCAGGGAGUCCAACUUGGAAUAGUCACAGUGGUUGAAGGUGACGUUGGAACGGUCCGAUCAAGUCCAACAACAACAAGCAUCGCCCUGGUUAUUGAGCAAUGGAUUGUCCUGCAUGAUGCAUGCGACCUCUCAGCAGCAUUCUCUCAUCUGUGCUCUGUGUGUUUUUACUAAAUGCCACUGAUGUGUUGACCACAUCUGGUGAAAAGCAUUUCUAAAGACCAGUGUACAGUUGUCUUGUUACAGACUAUACGAUAGGUGCUUUUGUUUCUGUUCAUUCAUAAUAAAGGCAAAAAAGCCUCAUACUGUUUUUGGUUGAUUUAUUUUUUCU